rnacentral:rRNA from 1 species
GGUGAGUAACACGUGGGUAACCUGCCCGGAGGUGGGGGAUAACCCUUCGAAAGGAGGGCUAAUACCGCAUCACAUCCCGGGUCUUUCGGGACCUGGGAUCAAAGCUGGCCUCUACUUGUAAGCUAGCGCCACCGGAGGGGCCCGCGUCCCAUUAGCUAGUUGGUGAGGUAACGGCUCACCAAGGCGACGAUGGGUAGCCGGCCUGAGGGGGCGACCGGCCACACUGGAACUGAGACACGGUCCAGACUCCUACGGGAGGCAGCAGUGAGGAAUCUUGCGCAAUGGGCGAAAGCCUGACGCAGCGACGCCGCGUGGAGGAUGAAGGUCUUCGGAUCGUAAACUCCUGUCGAGCGGGACGAAUCCCGGGAGGGUGAACAAUCCUUUCGGUUGACGGUACCGCUGGAGGAAGCCCCGGCUAACUCCGUGCCAGCAGCCGCGGUAAUACGGAGGGGGCCAGCGUUGUUCGGAAUCAUUGGGCGUAAAGGGCGCGUAGGCGGCCGAGCAAGUCGGAUGUGAAAUGCCCCGGCUCAACUGGGGACUUGCAUCCGAUACUGCUUGGCUCGAGUCCUGNAGAGGGUAGUGGAAUUCCCAGUGUAGCGNUGAAAUGCGU